UUGAAUCAGGAUUCAGGCUCCGAGCUGUCAGCACAGAGCCCGAUGCGGGGCUUGAACCCACAAACCGCGAGAUCAUGACCUGAGCCAAAGUCAGAUGCUUAACCGACUAAGCCACCCAGGCGCCCCUCUGUUUACUUUUUUUAACUCACAAAUUCAUUUUAAAUUUGGAUCUGUUCCUGUAGGUACUGACCACCUGUGCCAAUUUAGGUGUUUUCAAAGAAUUAUAUUAAAUAACUUAAAUGUUAGGAAAAUAUUCCAGCAGUCAUUGGUGAAAAUUGAUCUAGUUUUGCAUAUAGCAUCUACUUUAGACCAAGAAGCUUAUGCUGUUUCAGAGGUAUCACUGUGGAAAAAAAUCUGCUUUGGGACUGUGAGGUAUUUAGGGAUGUGGGUAAUAACCGAACUGCUGAGGGGGCACCUGUGGCUCAGUCGGUUAAGCGUCCGACUUUUGAUUUUGGCUCAAGUCAUGAUCUCACGGUUUGUGAAUUUAAGCCCUGCUUGGGGCUCUGCACUGACAGCAUGGAACCUGCUUGGGAUAUUCUCUCUCUCUCUCUCUCUCUCUCUCUCAAAAUAAAUAAUAAAUUAAAAAAAGAAUUGAACUGCUGAGCUGAAGCAUGAGGGGGAAGGGAGGGAACUGUUUGGUUUUGGAAGAGACGAAACAGGAACUGGGGAGGAGAGUAGCAAUACCUCUUCUCAGCUCAGAUCUGGUUGGGAAAGGAUUCUGGGGCUAGAACCAGGGCCUGAGAUGUAAAGCAGGAUGUCUGAGGUAGAUCUUGACAUAGGGGAGCUAUGCAAAGGUAGGAAAGAGUAAGGUUCAAGAUAACUAUAAAAAGGCUAGCAUUUGGGGCGCCUGGGUGGGUCAGUCGGUUGAGUGUCUGGCUCUUGAUUUCAGUUGAAGUCAUCAUCCCACGGUCGUGGGAUCGAAUCCUGAGUCGGUCUCCACGUGGAGCCUGCUUAAGACUUUUUCUUUUUCUCACUCUGCCCCUCUCCCCUGCUCGUGCACUCUUGCUCUCUCACAUAGGAAAAGAAAAAAAGAAAAGGCUAGCUUUUGAAAGCCAAUGAAAAACUUAGUACUGGGAAAAAAUGGGAUUUUGUUUACUGUUUAUUUCAGUCUUAGUUUUUAAGAGCUAUCCUCUUAUAGGGAAGAGAGCUUACUUCUUGGACCCUGCCCUAUGUUUUGCCACAAUAAGAGUUUCUUCUGUGGAAUUUUGUUUUUAAAGAACUGAAGGAAGUACCUGCACAUAAUACAUUUAUUAAUUUGUAUAAGCAAUUUGAUAAGUUGCAGAGUUCCAUCAUCUUACAAGUGGCAAAUUAUAUAUUUUUGGAUGAAAAUUUCCAUGCUUUUAAUAAAUAUAGAUAUAUCAUU